rnacentral:misc_RNA from 1 species
UGUAUAAGAGCACGGUGAAUCAUCGAAUCUUUGAACGCACAUUGCGCCCUUUGGUAUUCCUUAGGGCAUGCCUGUUCGAGCGUCAUCUUACCGCUCAAGCAUCGCUUGGUGUUGGGCGCCUGUCCCGCCGCUCGCGCGCGGACUCGCCUCGAAGACAUUGGCGGCCUGUGUACCGGCCACGAGCGCAGCAGACCCGCGCCUCGUGCCCACCCCGCAGGCGUCCAGGAAGCGAACCCCCCAGUUUGACCUCGGAUCAGGUAGGGAUACCCGCUGAACUUAAGCAUAUCAAUAAGCGGAGGA